GUCCUGGCUCAGGAUGAACGCUGGCGGCGUGCUUAACACAUGCAAGUCGAACGAAGCUUGAUCCCGGAUCCCUUCGGGGUGACGGGUGAUAUGACUGAGUGGCGGACGGGUGAGUAACGCGUGGGCAACCUGCCUCAUACAGGGGGAUAACAGUUAGAAAUGACUGCUAAGACCGCAUAAGACCACAGCACCGCAUGGUGGAGUGGUAAAAGCUCCGGUGGUAUGAGAUGGGCCCGCGUCUGAUUAGCUGGUUGGUGAGGUAACGGCUCUACCAAGGCAACGAUCAGUAGCCGGCUUGAGAGAGUGAACGGCCACAUUGGGACUGAGACACGGCCCAAACUCCUACGGGAGGCAGCAGUGGGGAAUAUUGCACAAUGGGGGAAACCCUGAUGCAGCGACGCCGCGUGAGUGAAGAAGUAUUUCGGUAUGUAAAGCUCUAUCAGCAGGGAAGAAAAUGACGGUACCUGACUAAGAAGCCCCGGCUAACUACGUGCCAGCAGCCGCGGUAA
rnacentral:rRNA from 1 species